GGGGAUGUUCUGGUUUUGACAGCAAAUGAUGCCGGAAGGUAAGCACGUUGAGCCUCGUGUGCCGGCUCGCAAAUCUCAGCGCUCACGCCAUAACUGGCAACAACAACUAUGCACUCGCUGCGUAAUCUUACCAAGUAAGAUGCCUUAAUCGCCCGGCCCAGGGCCGUUGCGACGAGUAUCCCGCAGGGCUUUACGCUCUCUCUGUCCUGCAACCGGGGUAUCAUCCAAGAGGGCUGCCGGCGCCGACUCCGCUACCGCGCCCCAAGACUUGGCGGAUACGGUCGAAAUGGCCCGCCUUCCGGCAGUUUCGAUCCGACAACCAAAGGCAGGAUAAGCGUGUAGAAAGCCUUUUGACGCUUUGUUUGGACGGCGGUUCGACUCCGCCCAUCUCCACA
rnacentral:tmRNA from 1 species